rnacentral:lncRNA from 1 species
CUGGACUCCUGGGGUGGAGCCCUGCCUUCCAUUCCCUGCUCAGUGAGGAAUCUGCCUCUCCCUCUGCCCUUCACCCUGCUCUUACUCCUCUCUCUCUCAAGUAAAUAAAACCUUAAAAAAAAAAAAAAAGAUAAAUUGUUCAUUAGAGGCAGAAGAAAAAUUAUUACAUUUCCUUACCUACUGAGAAGCCCUUGAAACAGGCAGAGUGACUCUCCUCUCCUCAACUACCCUCACUUUGAGGCUUUGCUAAGGGCAAAGGAUAAUCCUAGCCUGACCGACGCCCAACCUCCAACCAGGAUCCUAAUUGUUGGAAAAGACCAUGGUGAACAGACUGAGAAAAUAGGCAGGGACAAGAGAGAGCAGGCAAAAUGGUGCCACAGAGCAAAUUCAGUGAGGACAUCAUGACCACCUCUGCCAAAAUCCCAGGUACUAUAUUUUAUGUUGUUCCCA